AGUGAACGCUGGCGGUAGGCCUAACACAUGCAAGUCGAACGGCAGCACAGUAAGAGCUUGCUCUUACGGGUGGCGAGUGGCGGACGGGUGAGGAAUACAUCGGAAUCUACUUUUUCGUGGGGGAUAACGUAGGGAAACUUACGCUAAUACCGCAUACGACCUACGGGUGAAAGCAGGGGAUCCUCGGACCUUGCGCGAUUGAAUGAGCCGAUGUCGGAUUAGCUAGUUGGCGGGGUAAAGGCCCACCAAGGCGACGAUCCGUAGCUGGUCUGAGAGGAUGAUCAGCCACACUGGAACUGAGACACGGUCCAGACUCCUACGGGAGGCAGCAGUGGGGAAUAUUGGACAAUGGGCGCAAGCCUGAUCCAGCCAUACCGCGUGGGUGAAGAAGGCCUUCGGGUUGUAAAGCCCUUUUGUUGGGGAAGAAAAGCAGUAGGUUAAUACCCCGCUGUUCUGACGGUACCCAAAGAAUAAGCACCGGCUAACUUCGUG
rnacentral:rRNA from 1 species